rnacentral:rRNA from 1 species
UCCUGGCUCAGGAUGAACGCUAGCUACAGGCUUAACACAUGCAAGUCGAGGGGCAGCAUGAUCAAGCUUGCUUGAUGAUGGCGACCGGCGCACGGGUGAGUAACGCGUAUCCAACCUUCCCCUUAGUAGGGCAUAGCCCGUAGAAAUGCGGAUUAAUACCCUAUGUUGUUCGAUGCGGACAUCUAAGUUGAACCAAAGGUUUACCGCUAAGGGAUGGGGAUGCGUCUGAUUAGGCAGCAGGCGGGGUAACGGCCCACCUGGCCGACGAUCGGUAGGGGUUCUGAGAGGAAGGUCCCCCACAUUGGAACUGAGACACGGUCCAAACUCCUACGGGAGGCAGCAGUGAGGAAUAUUGGUCAAUGGGCGAGAGCCUGAACCAGCCAAGUAGCGUGCAGGACGACGGCCCUAUGGGUUGUAAACUGCUUUUAUGCGGGGAUAAAGUGCGGCACGUGUGCCGUUUUGUAGGUACCGCAUGAAUAAGGACCGGCUAAUUCCGUGCCAGCCGCAGC